rnacentral:rRNA from 1 species
UACGUAGGGGCUAGCGUUAUCCGGAAUCACUGGGCGUAAAGGGCGCGUAGGCGGCCUGUUAAGUCCGAUGUUAAAGACUGGGGCUCAACCCCAGCAUUGCGUUGGAUACUGGCAGGCUUGACGGUUGGAGAGGCGAGUGGAAUUACCAGUGUAGCGGUGAAAUGCGUAGAUACUGGUAGGAACACCCAUUGCGAAGGCAGCUCGCUGGACAACACGUGACGCUGAGGCGCGAAAGUGUGGGGAGCAAACCGGAUUAUAUACCCCUGUA